rnacentral:rRNA from 1 species
AACGAACGCUGGCGGCAUGCCUAACACAUGCAAGUCGAACGAGACCUUCGGGUCUAGUGGCGCACGGGUGCGUAACGCGUGGGAAUCUGCCCUUCGGUUGGGAAUAACUGAGAGAAAUUUCAGCUAAUACCUUAUAAUGUCUUCGGACCAAAGAUUUAUCGCCGAGGGAUGAGCCCGCGUAGGAUUAGGUAGUUGGUGGGGUAAUGGCCUACCAAGCCGACGAUCCUUAGCUGGUCUGAGAGGAUGAUCAGCCACACUGGGACUGAGACACGGCCCAGACUCCUACGGGAGGCAGCAGUGGGGAAUAUUGGACAAUGGGCGAAAGCCUGAUCCAGCAAUGCCGCGUGAGUGAUGAAGGCCUUAGGGUUGUAAAGCUCUUUUACCCGGGAUGACAAUGACAGUACCGGGAGAAUAAGCUCCGGCUAACUCCGUG